UACGGGGGGUGCAAGCGUUGUUCGGAAUCAUUGGGCGUAAAGAGCGUGUAGGCGGCUUGACAAGUCAGAUGUGAAAGCCCCGGGCUUAACCUGGGAAGUGCAUUUGAAACUGUCAUGCUUGAGUAGGGGAGAGGGAAGUGGAAUUCCUGGUGUAGAGGUGAAAUUCGUAGAUAUCAGGAGGAACACCAGUGGCGAAGGCGACUUCCUGGCCCUAUACUGACGCUGAGACGCGAGAGCGUGGGUAGCAAACAGGAUUAGAUACCCUGGUAGUCCACGCCGUAAACGAUGUUCACUAGGUGUUGGGGGUAUUGACCCCCUCAGUGCCGCAGCUAACGCAUUAAGUGAACCGCCUGGGGAGUACGGUCGCAAGACUA
rnacentral:rRNA from 1 species